AUUCCCUUCCUUGACCUUGAAUUCUGCCGAUUUGGGGAAGAAAUCAGUGGGUUUUGGUCCUGUUGAUUAAACAUCAAAUUCAAGCCAAAAACAGGCAUUGAAUUCGUUCUUUCUUGAUUGCUUGCUAUUGCUAACAGAAGGAGGCGACAUUAUCAAGGAGCCCUUCUAGUGAUCGCGGAGUAUCAGACUUAGUUUCUUGAAGCAUUCUUUUUUUUGCUUCUCUAUAGAUCGGGACCAGUCGGGAAUAAUGGAUUAGCAGAGGUGAAUGAAGGUUCCAAGGAUGUAUAUUGAGUUGAGCACUUAGGAAUCUAUAGUUUUGUAUUAGGAUUUUGGAUAAAUGUAAAUUUAAUUUGGCUGUGCUGGUUAUAUCGGACUUGUAGAGAAUUGUAUGAUUACCCUUUGUUUUAGUUAGAUGUUUGUUUUGAGAUA